ACACUCCUGCGGGAGGCAGCAGUGGGGAAUAUUGCACAAUGGGCGCAAGCCUGAUGCAGCCAUGCCGCGUGUGUGAAGAAGGCCUUCGGGUUGUAAAGCACUUUCAGCGGGGAGGAAGGCGAUACGGUUAAUAACCGUGUUGAUUGACGUUACCCGCAGAAGAAGCACCGGCUAACUCCGUGCCAGCAGCCGCGGUAAUACGGAGGGUGCAAGCGUUAAUCGGAAUUACUGGGCGUAAAGCGCACGCAGGCGGUCUGUCAAGUCGGAUGUGAAAUCCCCGGGCUCAACCUGGGAACUGCAUUCGAAACUGGCAGGCUUGAGUCUUGUAGAGGGGGGUAGAAUUCCAGGUGUAGCGGUGAAAUGCGUAGAGAUCUGGAGGAAUACCGGUGGCGAAGGCGGCCCCCUGGACAAAGACUGACGCUCAGGUGCGAAAGCGUGGGGAGCAAACAGGAUUAGAUACCCCAGUAGUCCCAUG
rnacentral:rRNA from 1 species